rnacentral:rRNA from 1 species
CGUACACACCCGCCCGUCACCACCAGUGGGAGGGUUGGGGUUCCACCAAGGAAGCGUAGGUUCGACCCUAACCGACGAAGGGGGGCGCCUACCACGGUGAGCUUCAUGACUGGGGUG